UGGGGAAUAUUGCACAAUGGGCGCAAGCCUGAUGCAGCCAUGCCGCGUGUGUGAAGAAGGCCUUCGGGUUGUAAAGCACUUUCAGCGGGGAGGAAGGCGUUAAGGUUAAUAACCUUGGCGAUUGACGUUACCCGCAGAAGAAGCACCGGCUAACUCCGUGCCAGCAGCCGCGGUAAUACGGAGGGUGCAAGCGUUAAUCGGAAUUACUGGGCGUAAAGCGCACGCAGGCGGUCUGUCAAGUCGGAUGUGAAAUCCCCGGGAUCAACCUGGGAACUGCGUGAGAAAAUGGCAGGCUAGAGUCGUGUAGAGGGGGGUAGAAUUCCAGGUGUAGCGGUGAAAUGCGUAGAGAUCUGGAGGAAUACCGGUGGCGAAGGCGGCCCCCUAGACAAAGCCUGACGCUCAGGUGCGAAAGCGUGGGGAGCAAACAGG
rnacentral:rRNA from 1 species